rnacentral:rRNA from 1 species
AUUGAACGCUGGCGGCAGGCCUAACACAUGCAAGUCGGGCGGAUGAAGGGAGCUUGCUCCUUGAUUCAGCGGCGGACGGGUGAGUAAUGCCUAGGAAUCUGCCUGGUGGGGUGGGAUACCACCGGUAAACGGGCGCUACUACCUCAUACGUCCUGGGUGAGAACGGGUGGGACCUGCGAACAUAACGCUUUCAGAGGAGCCUUGGUCGGAUUCCCUAGUGGGUGGGUUAGAGGCCUACCAAGGCGUCGAGCCGUAACUGUUCUGAGAGGAUGAUGAAUCACACGGGAACUGAGACACGGUCCAGACCCCUACGGGAGGCAGCAGUGGGGAAUAUUGGACAAUGGGCGCAAGCUUGAUCCAGCCAUGCCGAGUGUGUCAAGAAGGUCCUCGGAUUGUAAAGCACUCUCAGUUGGGCGCAACGGCAGUCAGUUAAUACCUCGCUGUUUUGACGUUCCCAACAGAAUAAGCACCGGCUAACCUCGUG